AGAGCUUUCGUUUGCUCUAAAUAAAACUUGAAUUGAUUUCAUUGCUUACAGGCCAACGUAUAUAUACAUAAGAAAACAAAAUGACAGCUAGCUAAAAGAUAACAAAUUCAGAUAAAACAAAAACAAUCACUAAAUCAUUGGCCAAUGAUAUAGAGCUUCUAGAAUCUUCAUCCAAUCAUCCCAUGUGCUGAUAUUCCUCUGUGUAACUGUUUUGCCACCUCAUUGAAUUCCUCUCAUUUCUUUCAUCAGCUGACUGUAAUUGUGAGUAGCUCAGGUGGCAUGCCACUGUGUCAUUGAGGUCAUCAGUUGACUGGCUGAGAUCAUGGCUGCCAUGGCUGCUAUUUUCAACACCCUCUCUCAAACACAAGGUUUUGUCAAACACCUUGAGUUUGCUUCUGAAGCAGCUAAAUUUGUAAUAAGGUAACGGCUUAGUUAGAACAUCAGUUAUUUGAUCCCUGCCUGCAACAAAACUGAUUUCCAUUUCACCUCUAGCUACCUUAUCCCUGAUAAAAUGUAGGUCUAUCUCAAAGUGUUUAGUCUUUGAAUGAAAAACAGGAUUGGUAGCCAUUGCUGCUGCACUUGUGCUAUCACUUAAGAUUGUUGGUGUUCUUUGCAUCUCUAGUUUCAGCUCACUUAGUAAGGAGCUAAUCCAUGUAAUUUCUGCAGCACAGAGGGCCAUUGCUCUGUAUUCUGAUUCAGUCGUAGAUCUAGCAACCAAACCUUGCUUUCUUGAACUCCAGGCAAUGAGAUUUCCACCCAGAAAUACACAAUAGCCACUGAUGGACCUCCUGUCAUCCAAAUCAUUUUCCCAGUCUGCAUCUGUGUAAGCCACCAAAUCAAAAUACUCUGACUUCUUGAAUUUCAGACACAUGUUCAUGGUGUUUUUAAGAUACCUCAAUACUCUUUUGCAUGCUAUCCAGUGAGGUUGCCUAGGAUCUGACAUGUAUUGGCUGAGCUUGUUCACUGAGUAAGCAAGCUCAGGCCUUGUGAGUGUUGCAUACUGCAGGCUGCCUAUAACACUUCGAUACAAUGUGGGAUCAUGAAACUUUUCUCCUUCAUUCUUCUUCAGCUUUUCUGUGGUACUGAAAGGUGAUUCAAUUCCUUUACAGUCACUCAUUUCUGUUUUGGCAAGCAAAUCUUGAAUAUACUUGGUUUGAGACAGCAAAAUGGCAUUUUGUUUUCUGUUUACCUGAAUCCCCAGAAAGAAGUUUAGCUCUCCCAAAUCCUUUAAGGCAAAGGUCCUAUUUAAGUUGCUAACCAGCUCUUCAAUACUACCACUAUUAUCACCAGUAAUAAUAAUGUCAUCAACAUAAAUAAGCAAUAUAACUAUCUCAGAUUUAGUUUUUCUGUAGAACAAUGAGGUAUCACACUUAGAAUUUUCAAAUCCCCAAGAGUUUAAGGCACCCUUCAGUUUGUCAAACCAUGCCCUGGGGGCUUGUCUCAAGCCAUACAGUGCUUUCUUUAAUCUGCAUAUGUGAUUUGGCUUGCUUUUGUUCACAAAACCUUCAGGUUGUGGCAUGUAAACCAUCUCUGUCAGCUCACCAUUCAAGAAGGCAUUGUUUAUAUCUACCUGCCUCAGCAACCAGUCAUUGUUCACUGCCAAAGUGAGGAUGAUUCUGAUUGUUACAGCCUUGACAACUAGGCUGAAAGUCUCUGUGAAAUCAAUGCCUGGAAUUUGCAAGAACCCCUUCACCACUAAUCUAGCCUUAUAUUUGUUUAUGGUUCCAUCUGGAUUUUCUUUAACUCUGUACACCCAUUUAUUUCCAAUUAGCUUGUGGCUUGAGUCAUUUGGUACCAAGGUCCAUGUUUCAUUUUUCAUCAAUGCAUUGUACUUAUCUUCCAUUGCCCUUUUCCAGCUUGGUUCUUUUAAAGCUUCUGAGGUGUUUGAGGGUAAUGCUAUGUGUGGUUGAGUAGUGAUUUGGUACAAUUUUGGUUUAAAGAUCCCUGCUUUAGAUUUUGUUACCAUAGGGUGUGAUGAUAUAACUUCUUUUGUGUUGGGUGCUGUGAUAGUGGAUGAAGGUUGGUCAUUUGCUUGAGGCUGGUGAUUUGAAUGAGGUGAGGAUAACUGAUUAUUUGAUAUCAUAUCAUUGCUUAAAUUCUGUUGUGUCUUACCUUGGUCAAGGUUCUGUGCUGAUAUUCCUCUGUGUAACUGUUUUGCCACCUCAUUGAAUUCCUCUCAUUUCUUUCAUCAGCUGACUGUAAUUGUGAGUAGCUCAGGUGGCAUGCCACUGUGUCAUUGAGGUCAUCAGUUGACUGGCUGAGAUCAUGGCUGC
rnacentral:lncRNA from 1 species